UGAAGGGGCAUUUACAUGGCAAACAUUUCAUUUGGCUGCUCUCUUAUGGCAGGAGCACCACUUCAGAAUGAACUCUUUUUUAAAUGGGUUUGCACCAGCAAAAAGAGCAAAAGGAGUUCACAGAACUAUGAAUUAAGCCUCGUAUGUCCCUUGGCAGCUGUGUUUCCUUGACGCCUCUGAGUAUUAAACAGUCUGCUCCAAAGGGAGAAUUGCUCCAAUCCCUUGAUCAUUUUGGUUGAUCUUCUCUGAACUUCUGCUAGAUCUAUGAUAUCCUUUUAGAGUUUAUUAGAAAGCACUGCCAAUUUAAAAAUGGAAAGCAUAUGACUGAUUCAUUGCAGAAGGCCCAUUUUUCAACAUUAAGGACUGGAACCAGCAAUUCUGCACGUAUAAUCCUACUAAGCAUGUUGAACUGCAGAGGCUCUACACUAGCACUUCCGAAUUGUUGUCCCAUGGAUCACCAUGAAUGGAAUGCUGUUAAAAAACAAGGCA